AGGAGCGUGACCCUGGGAAGGGCGAGUUAGGGCUUGAGGAGAGCUAGCCCGGUUCCGGGUGGAAACCUGAAGGCGACCUACGGGACUGGAGCCAGGGCCCAAGGCCAGCUCCACAGGCCUAAUAUGGAGGUCAUGCUGUCCUUUGGCUGCGUUCCCUGAUAUCCAGUACCGGGACCACCCUGGAGUCAGGGAGGAUGCAGUCAGCAUGCCAUGGUUCUGAGAUCCUGGCCUCAGGCCUCCAACUUUUAGACAUCCCCCACUGGAAAACUGGCCACAGCCUUGGUGGUCUCCCCAUUGCCUGGAGUGCAGUGGCUUCAGCAUGGCCACAGUGCUGAGCCAUUUGAUGAGCAAUGGUGAGACCCUGCAGUGCCUUGAACUCUUGGGCUCAAGCAAGCCUCCCACCUCAGCCUCCUGACUAGGACUACAGAUGCACACCACCGCGCCUGGCUAAUUUGUUUAAAAAAAAUAUCUAUCUAUCUAUAUAUACAGUAGAGAUAGGUCUUGCUAUGUUGCCCAGACUGGUCUCAAACUCCUGACUUCAAGUGACCCUCUGGCCUCAGCCUCCCAAAGUCCUGGGAUUACAGGUGUGAGCCACCACACCUGGCCUAUGUACUAUUUCACAAUAACAUAAUUCUCAAACUCUAUGGGUCGCCCCCAAAGAAACAGCUCAAAAAUCAGGAGUUCUAAAUGUUUACCCAAGCCCAUCAAUUUCCCAAACUUGAAAAUGUCAAAAUAGAAACUUCAGAUACAGCGGAACCUAGGACCUUACCUGGCAGG